rnacentral:snoRNA from 1 species
GGAGGUCAUAUGAUGAAUUUUAUUUGCAUAGUUCAGAUGAGAGAUUAAAAUCUUGUGAUUACUUUGCAUGUCUUUCGCUCCUAUCUGAUGACUUCC